CUUAAAGAAUAACGAUAAUCGAAGUACAAUUGCAACAACUUGUUUUGGCAAUGACGAUCUUAAAGCUAUUGAAAAAAUAUCUUGCAUCAAUAUGUGACCAUCAUGACUUUUAAGAUUUGAAAGUUUUCGAUCCUUUAGAUGCACACAUCGUGAAAUAUUUGAUGCAUAUCCAUCAGGUACUUUGAUACUUUUCAAAACUCCCAAAAAAUUAUCCUUUUCUCGAGCA
rnacentral:lncRNA from 1 species